rnacentral:rRNA from 1 species
AGAGUGAACGCUGGCGGCAGGCCUAACACAUGCAAGUCGAACGGCAGCACAGCAGUAGCAAUACUGUGGGUGGCGAGUGGCGGACGGGUGAGGAAUACAUCGGAAUCUACCUUGUCGUGGGGGAUAACCUCGGGAAACCGGGACUAAUACCGCAUACGAACUAUGGUUGAAAGCGGCGGACCGCAAGGCGUCGCGCGAUUGGAUGAGCCGAUGUCCGAUUAGCUAGUGGCGGGGUAAAGCCCACAAGGCGACGAUCGGUAGCCGUGGUCUAGGAGGAGGAU